CACGCCGUAAACGAUGAGUACUAGGUGUCGGGGUUUAAAGACUUCGGUGCCGCAGUUAACGCAUUAAGUACUCCGCCUGGGGAGUACGCACGCAAGUGUGAAACUCAAAGGAAUUGACGGGGACCCGCACAAGCAGCGGAGCAUGUGGUUUAAUUCGAAGCAACGCGAAGAACCUUACCAGGGCUUGACAUCCCUCUGACCAACCCUUAAUCGGGUUUUCUCUUCGGAGCAGAGGUGACAGGUGG
rnacentral:rRNA from 1 species